CCUACGGGUGGCAGCAGUCGAGAAUCAUUCACAAUGGGGGAAACCCUGAUGGUGCGACGCCGCGUGGGGGAAUGAAGGUCUUCGGCUUGUAAAUCCCUGUCAUGUGGGAGCAAAUUAAAAAGAUAGUACCACAAGAGGAAGAGACGGCUAACUCUGUGCCAGCAGCCGCGGUAAUACAGAGGUCUCAAGCGUUGUUCGGAAUCACUGGGCGUAAAGCGUGCGUAGGCUGUUUCGUAAGUCGUGUGUGAAAGGCGCGGGCUCAACCCGCGGACGGCACAUGAUACUGCGAGACUAGAGUGAUGGAGGGGGAACCGGAAUGCUCGGUGUAGCAGUGAAAUGCGUAGAUAUCGAGAGGAACACUCGUGGCGAAGGCGGGUUCCUGGACAUUAACUGACGCUGAGGCACGAAGGCCAGGGGAGCGAAAGGGAUUAGAUACCCGGGUAGUC
rnacentral:rRNA from 1 species